CCUACGGGAGGCAGCAGUGAGGAAUAUUGGUCAAUGGCCGUAAGGCUGAACCAGCCAAGUAGCGUGAGGGAAGACUGCCCUAUGGGUUGUAAACCUCUUUUAUGCGGGGAUAAAGGUGUCCACGUGUGGAUGUUUGCAGGUACCGCAUGAAUAAGGACCGGCUAAUUCCGUGCCAGCAGCCGCGGUAAUACGGAAGGUCCGGGCGUUAUCCGGAUUUAUUGGGUUUAAAGGGAGCGUAGGCCGGUCUUUAAGCGUGCCGUGAAAUUUUGUGGCUCAACCAUGAGAGUGCGGGGCGAACUGGGGACCUGGAGUGCGCGGAGGGCAGGCGAAAUUCGUGGUGUAGGGGUGAAAUGCUAAGAUA
rnacentral:rRNA from 1 species